UACGUAGGGUGCGAGCGUUAUUCGGAAUUACUGGGCGUAAAGCGUGCGCAGGCGGUUUUUUGAGCCAGGUGUGAAAUCCCCGGGCUUAACCUGGGAAUGGCAUUUGGGACUGCAAGGCUGGAGUGUGGCAGAGGAGACUGGAAUUCCCGGUGUAGCAGUGAAAUGCGUAGAUAUCGGGAGGAAUACCGAUGGCGAAGGCAGGUCUCUGGGCUGACACUGACGCUCAUGCACGAAAGCGUGGGGAGCAAACAGG
rnacentral:rRNA from 1 species